GACGAACGCUGGCGGCGUGCCUAAUACAUGCAAGUAGAACGCUGAAGGAGGAGCUUGCUCUUCUGGAUGAGUUGCGAACGGGUGAGUAACGCGUAGGUAACCUGCCUGGUAGCGGGGGAUAACUAUUGGAAACGAUAGCUAAUACCGCAUAACAGUAGAUGUUGCAUGACAUUUACUUAAAAGGUGCAAUUGCAUCACUACCAGAUGGACCUGCGUUGUAUUAGCUAGUUGGUGGGGUAACGGCUCACCAAGGCGACGAUACAUAGCCGACCUGAGAGGGUGAUCGGCCACACUGGGACUGGGACACGGCCCAGACUCCUACGGGAGGCAGCAGUAGGGAAUCUUCGGCAAUGGACGGAAGUCUGACCGAGCAACGCCGCGUGAGUGAAGAAGGGUUUCGGAUCGUAAAGCUCUGUUGUAAGAGAAGAACGGGUGUGAGAGUGGAAAGUUCACACUGUGACGGUAUCUUAACAGAAAGGGACGGCUAACUACGUG
rnacentral:rRNA from 1 species